ACAGCAGAAAUGACAAGGCAUAACAAGUCACGUAAGGGAGCUCUUUGGUUUUUCCUGGGAGUUAAAGUAAAGAUUUACCUCCUCUUAAUUUUUCCAGUGGGUGGUAAACAAACUUCUCUAAGCCUCUUCUGGUAAGGGCUUCCGAGAUAGUUUUUACAUGCAGGAAGAGAGAACAAGUGCAGGCAACGUCCAAGGUCCUCUUGUUUUGCAGAUCACUGCACAACAGACCCUCAGGUAGAACAAGUUUAGAUAGUGACUCUUAACCAAAGUACAAGUUAGCAUCACCUGGAAGACUUUACUAACCAUGGUUGGCUGAGAGUCUGUGGGAGCAGAAGAGGAAACUGAGGCUUUAGAGAACUGUAGCACAUUGGCAAGGACAUCCAGCUCAUAAACACCCUCAGCCUUCAGCAUGAGAACAGGGACAUCAGCCUGCUUUGCCCAUGGAACUGUCUCCAGAGCCUACAACAAUGCUCAGCCUAUGAGAGGUGUCUCCUAGAAGACUUUCCAUUUCAACAAGCCUCAUUUAUAUGCAACUGGCAAUUUCUCUAAACAGAAGAAAAGGGGAGAUUUUGCCAAUCAAUUGGCUUCACCAUCCCCCAGCCCCAAAGUGUGUUUAAGAACAUUUGCCUGUGCAUGCAUGUGUUUUCCUUUGCAUCCCACAAGAGGAAGGUAGGCAUAUUGCAUACAACUGCAGCUUUCUCACCUGAGAAACAUUCUUGGGUUUAAUGUCGGUAUGAACCAUUAGGAUUUAGCAUAGCAUCAAUGACAUGCUAACAUAUAUUCGCUCAGUAGCCAUGGGAAGAUCACUUUCUCGUAUAAUUUAUGCAAUUAAACUUUCCCAUUUUCCUGGAUGUAUGCAUGGAAACCAUCCACUGAGGCUGCUGUCCAUUGAGUUGGAGCUUUUGCAUGGCAGAACUGGAGAGUCCAAUUGAAAACACAGAAGUGGAGCUGCUCCAGAGAGGGUGCGGCACGAAGACUCUGUGCAGGCUAUUUCAGAGCGAAGCGAGUGGGCUCAAAUGUGCUGAAUGCUCACUUGCUAACACAGACAGCACCAAGAUAAACACCUACAAAAUAACAGCAAGACACAGACCUGUAGGAACUCCGAGCUGGGCCAGCCUCAGGAGAGGUUUCUCCCAAGGACACUGUUCUUACGCAUAGAUGGAGAAUCACCUGGAAAGAACAAGACUGUGAGCCAGACCCCAGCCUGCAGAGUAUUGGUCCCUCAAACUUGCGUUCUGCCCUUUAAACGGCAUCACAAUGGGUUAACAAUUGUGAAGCUUGAAAAUAAUUGUUUUCCCCUAAGAAUGGGCCUGGGCUUACAGCACAUUUGUGAGACAGAACAGGGGGUGGAGAGGCCAGGGAUCUAGAUUCCCCCAUUUAUUGUCUCAUGUUACACUAAAAAAAUUGGGGGUUGUUACCCGGUUCUACAGAUGAGGAAGCAGAGACUGGAGGGUUUGAUAAACCCCUGGAGGUCAUGCAAAUACCCUGUAGUAAAGCUUAGAUUUUAACCAGAUCUUUUUGUGUUCCAGAAGCUGCAUCUCUGAGUCAUGAGACAUGCAGACCAUGGCAGAUGGUCCCGUGACAGCAUUUAUUACCUUAAACGGGAAGUCUCAACCCACCCUCCUCCCCCACAUCCACUCCCCACUUGAAGAUAGAUACAUAUGAUAGGACAAGGCUGUGAUUUAAACUUAGCUCAGGAUGGUGCUGUGCCUGAGCAUAUGGAAAAGCUUUUAAAUUCAGUUUCAGAUUUAUAUCUGCUGACAAGGGGUAAAAUGAAUUCUUGGUCUUUGUUCGAAUGGAAAAAAGUCUCUACAUUAUUAGGCGCCAUAAUAUUUUAUUCAAAUCUUCUUAGAAAUUUUUGGAUAUUGCAUCUGGGGGUAAGUGUGCCUCUUUGAUGUCAUUCAGAAGUGUGUGUAUCUUGGUUACUGUGUACAAAAUGCACUGGUCCAGUUUUUUCAAAGUGCCUUGACGCUAUACAUUAAAUUGCAAUCAAGAGAAUUGAAUAUGGAAAGUAGAGUUUUUUUUUUUUUGCAAUCCUUCCUUCAACUCCUAAAGUCAGCUCUUUAGAGAAAAUUAGCACUGAUAAUAGGACAAGAUGAUAAAGAAUACAUCCGUGUUACAGCUUCUAGUGCCACUCCCCCAAUCUCACAUUAAUGCUACACUGAUUUCAAUGGAACAUUGAGAAGAAAUAUUUCUCUAGUCUGAAAGUAAAGCAGGAAUUACAAACUCAGUAAUUAAGUUAGGAUUAGGUUUGCUGCAAUAUAAUGUACAUAUAUGCAGAUAUAGUUCAUUACCCUUACACAUAAAAGUGAUCUAAAGAGAGGUAGCCCAAAGCUGUUCAUGUCUACUAUGCCUCUCUGCCUUCCUUAGAUGACACUUCACAGUCCAGAAUGGCUGCUUUUGCUCCAGCCAUCAUGUCCAAAUUCUAGCCUGCAGUGAGGAGAAAGCAACAAAAAAAGGACAUGCUCAUUCUUUUUAAAGAGCACUUCAUAGAGAAUGUUCAUUUCACUUUCAGCUAUCUUUUGUGGCUAGAACAUCAAGUAUGUGGUCACACCCCACUACAGGAGGAGCUUGGAAACGUAGGGUUUAUUUGGGCCCCCAAGUGCUAAACUAAAAUCUGGAAUUGAAACAUAAAUGAAGAAGAGAAUAGGUAUUCAAGUAGGCAUACUCUGCAAUUAUUUCUAGGUCAGUGCUAUGCCCGUGGGAUAAACUUUUCAAGUAGAGGUCCAAUACUGACAAGAGUGAGAGGGACUGAGGCACGUCUCCAAAGCAUUCUAUGAUCCUGGUUCUCAUGACUGGGCCCUGAAACUUUGCACCUCAAUUCCCUUGACUGGAUCUCUGAGCUCCUCUCUGUAUAUGGGUUCCACCACCCAUGUCUCUCCUGGGCUGAGGCCUUGCCUUCCCUGAGUGAGUCCUGCUCUGUUACUCUUGCUUGUCCACCUGUCCCCACAAACUCUAGGAACUAGAACCUGGCCCCAGUCUGGUCUCAAAGCCAGGCAUUGGGUGAGUAAAAAGAACAUCAGUUUGGGGCUACACUGGACCUCAGUUCCAAGCCCAUGUCCAUGACUUUUGAGCCACCUGGCUUUGUGCAAAUUAGCCUUUGUAUACUUCUAUUUCCUCUUUUGUGUAAAAGUGGAAUAUUAAUAGUAUUUACCUCAUAUGGGCUGCAAUGAGUGUUAGCCACCAUUGUUAUUGGUGUAUGUUCGUGGACAGAAGGCCUAUGUCUCUGUCUAGUACAAGGAUAUCCUGGAAAAGAACAUGCCUAACCCUUCUUUGAUUUAAUGAGACCUUCCCAUAUCUCUGGUUCUAAUGGGAUGAAGCUCCCUAACUACCUAGUGCUGGUCUACACCACCACUUUGUCACCUCAGCUCCGUUUUGUGAUGGGACAGGGACCCUUCCCUCCUCUGCAGCACAUCUGUUUCUCUCAAAUAGAUUUGUUUCAAGUCUCAACUCAGGCCAUGAUCUCUGAAGUUGGGCCCCCUCAUGACGUGACAGGAUGAACAAUUUGUACAUAACAGGUGCAAUUUAAAUUCCUGUCUCAUGCAUUAAAGGCAGCUUCCAUUUAGGCUUCUGUGGCCACCUUCUAGAGCCAUCAAACUCUGUAUCUUGAAAAAGUUCACCUUGAAAGCCUUUCUGCCAUUGCCAGUGACAGGGGUACCCUCUCACCAUGCCGGCAGGUUCCUAUAGUGUCUGAGGACCUGAGAUUGACAUUUGUCUCAGCACAUCUUUGGAGCAUAAAGCCAGAGAACUGCCAAAGUAAUGUGACAGCCACCAUUUGAUGAUGCAGAUAAUAGCCACGAGAAGCCAGACAGAAGGAUUUCACUCUAGCAGGUAAAUGUUAGCUUAGCCUUUAUUUAAAACAUGCCUGUCCUGAGAUCAAGUUUGCUAGAGAGAAGAAGAAUCAGAGGAGUUGGUAAUAUUUGGAUUGAUCAUAAUGAAAUGUAUCACUUUUCCUUUUAAAAAUGUUUAUAAGUUAUUUGACUAGUUUUACAAGUUUUAUAUGUUUUGCAAGUGAAUUUUAACCCCUAUGUUUAUCUAUCACCAAGACAAUGCCUUAUAUCAGGCAUUGAUGAUCUCAAUUAAAGACCUCUUUACUGUCUUCUCAGGUCCUAGUGACACUAUUUCCAAUCAACCCUCUACCUUUGCAGAAACUGUGGUUCAAAAUGUAAAUUGAAUUGUGCCACUGUCUUGCUGAAAAGUCUUCAGUGGUUUUCCACUGACUUCUGAAUAAACCAUGACAUAAGUCCCAAGAUGACCUGACAGGCCCUUGCUUCAAUGUCCACCAACCCCCUGCACAUGCAUACGUACACACACACACAUACACACACACACACACACACAUGCACACACACAAUUAACUCCAGCCACCCUGAAGUCCUGGCAGUCCCUCAGCAUUUUCCUUCUCACCCAUGAACCUAUAUACCCAUCUGUGAUGGUUAAUAUUGGUGUUAACUUUGAUCGGAUUGAAGGAUGCAAAGUAUUGUUCCUGGGUGUGUCUGUGAGGGUGCUGGCAAAGGAGAUUAACAUUUAAGUCAGUGGAGUGGGAGAGGCAGACACCCCCUCAAUCUGGAUGGGCACCAUCUAAUCAGCAGCCAACUCAGCCGGAAUAAAGCCAAGCAGAAGAACGUGGAAACAUUAGACUUGUUUAGUCUUCUGGCCUCCAUCUUUCUCCCAGGCUGGAUGUUUCCUGCCCUCGA
rnacentral:lncRNA from 1 species